rnacentral:rRNA from 1 species
UACGAGAGGUCAAAACGUUAUUCGGAAUCACUGGGCUUACAGAGUUCGUAGGCGGUCCAGAAAGUGGGGUGUGAAAGCCCUCGGCUUAACCGAGGAACUGCGCUCCAAACUACUGGGCUAGAGGAAGAUAGAGGUGAGCAGAACUGAUGGUGGAGCGGUGAAAUGCGUUGAUAUCAUCAGGAAUACCGGAGGCGAAGGCGGCUCACUGGGUCUUUUCUGACGCUGAGGAACGAAAGCUAGGGGAGCAAACGGG